CAUACUCACCAUGUCCAAGCAGCCAGGCCAUCAGCAGGCAUCAAGAUGUGUGUUCCAAGUGCCCAGUCCAGGAUCCCUUGCGAGGACACGAAGCGGGAGAGACACCAGCUAUCCACCAGCAAGUCUCCUUGACUCCUUGGAGACGGGUCACAAGCGGAUGAUUUGUCAGUAUUAUGCAUCCCUCAUGCACACCCCAGCGUAUCUGAGGUCCUGGAAGCUGCUCACAUUUCAGUGUGCUGCAAGGUAGAGAGCAGCAAAGCCCUUGGUGGAUUGGGAACUGACCUCCACAUCUCCCUGCUGCUCCAGCUUCGGGACCAUCCCUUCUCUUGGCAUCAGAGCUCAGAGGCCUUUCUUUGUUAAAUUCUACUUCAAUUGGUUUAAUUCUGUUUUCUUGCUGGAAGAGGAUUUAGUAAAACAAACAAAACAUCUUA